rnacentral:lncRNA from 1 species
AUUUAGCGGAGUGGUGACUGGGGUGUUACGUUCCCCCCAUUUAAAAAAUUUGGUCCCCCAAAUUUGUUUCGAAUAGGUCUAGAAAAUUCUCUCUCAUCUCAUUUUCGAACUCCCAUGUCUCCUCUUCCAAAGAGUGGUGUUGCCUUUGCACCUUCACUAUGGGGAUCGUCUCGUUGCAUAAAACUUUGUCGAUCCAAUCAAGAAUUUCCACGAGGAGUUUCGCAUAAGUCAUAUCG